CAUAUGCAGGCUUUGUCUUCCUGAGUCUGCAUUACCUCAUUAAAUAUUAUAUUUUCCAGAUUCACUCGGUUCUUACAAAAGUCAUCUUUUAUUAAAACUGAAUAAAACUCUACUGUGUAUGCAUCACAUUUUCAUUAUUGGCUUCAUUAGCUUUCUUCAUUUCUUGGCACAGUUAUCAAUGUAUCCAGUUGCCAGCAUGAAGAGCCAGUCUAUAGUGAAGUGACGGAGGGAAAAACUGAAAUCGGGGGCGUGAGACAUGGCCUGGUUUUCCCGAUGCUGCAUCUGCUUUUCCUCAUUAUCUACUUUGGGGUCCUUGUGGCAUUUCUUCUCCAAGUUCCAAAGGUUCCCUGCACCCAAGAUCAGGAGGAGAUCUACGAGGAACUCAUGCAGCUGAAGCCUAGAAUAGGUGUGUGAUCAGAGGCUGCUUGGCCAAGGGUCUUAAUGGGUAAUUAUGUGA